AACGCACCUUGCGCUCCCUGGUAUUCCGGAGAGCAUGCCUGUUUGAGUGUCAUGUGAACAUCUCAUGCCCCUUGAGGGCAUGGAGGACUUGGACGCUGCUGUUGUUUUGGCUCGUCUUGAAAUGCAUUAGCCUGUGCCUCUGAGCCGGACUCUGGUGUGAUAAGCAUCUACGCCGCAGCACCGCGCUUGGUUGGUCACUUUUGUGCAGGCUCACAGUCGUCGGCUGACCCCUGACAUUGUAUUUAUUUAACGCUCUGGCCUCAAAUCAGGUAGGACUACCCGCUGAACUUAA
rnacentral:misc_RNA from 1 species